rnacentral:rRNA from 1 species
GACGAACCGUGCGAACGUUGUUCGGAAUCACUGGGCUUAAAGGGCGCGUAGGCGGGCCGCCAAGUCAGGGGUGAAAGCCUCCAGCUUAACUGGAGAAGUGCCUCUGAUACUGGCGGCCUCGAGGGAGAUAGGGGCGUGCGGAACUUCCGGUGGAGCGGUGAAAUGCGUAGAUAUCGGAAGGAACACCGGUGGCGAAAGCGGCGCGCUGGAUCUCUUCUGACGCUGAGGCGCGAAAGCCAGGGGAGCGAACGGG